GAAAUCAUACAAUGAAUUAAUCACGACAUGUAUUUUAAAGUCAAUCCUUAGGAAAGAUACUAAGUAGCUAUUACAGCUGAACCAAAAAAUUACAUAUGUAAAUUUAAGCUUUAUUAUUAACAACUUCAUUACCAGAUUACUGCAAAACUAUUUAAAUGAAUUUUUGCCUUUAAAUUGAGAACUAAAAUGUAAAAUAUUUUCUCAUUGAUAACAAUUAUGAAAAUACAGAAAAAUGUUAAUAUGCCUGAUGUUCUGACCAUUUGGGGAUCCCUGAGGACAAAUUUGGCAUUUGUAUAUCAUUCAGAUUUAUGAAAUU
rnacentral:lncRNA from 1 species